CGGACGGUAGCGCAGCCUGGUAGCGCGUUUGCUUGGGGGGCAAAAGGGCACGAGUUCAAAUCUCGUCCGUCCGACCA
rnacentral:tRNA from 1 species